AUUGAACGCUGGCGGCAGGCUUAACACAUGCAAGUCGAGCGGAGAUGAGGUGCUUGCACCUUAUCUUAGCGGCGGACGGGUGAGUAAUGCUUAGGAAUCUGCCUAUUAGUGGGGGACAACAUUCCGAAAGGAAUGCUAAUACCGCAUACGCCCUACGGGGGAAAGCAGGGGAUCUUCGGACCUCGCGCUAAUAGAUGAGCCUAAGUCGGAUUAGCUAGUUGGUGGGGUAAAGGCCUACCAAGGCGACGAUCUGUAGCGGGUCUGAGAGGAUGAUCCGCCACACUGGGACUGAGACACGGCCCAGACUCCUACGGGAGGCAGCAGUGGGGAAUAUUGGACAAUGGGCGGAAGCCUGAUCCAGCCAUGCCGCGUGUGUGAAGAAGGCCUUUUGGUUGUAAAGCACUUUAAGCGAGGAGGAGGCUACCUGGAUUAAUACUCUAGGAUAGUGGACGUUACUCGCAGAAUAAGCACCGGCUAACUCUGUGCCAGCCGCCGCAGUAAUAC
rnacentral:rRNA from 1 species